AUCCGUUGCCGAGAGUCGUUGUGAAUAAUACGACAAGAAUGCUUUGCCCCCCGCACACCGAGACCGGGGCAAGGGGCAAGCUUAUUCGUUUGAGCUCCUUGGCGCGACUUGCGUCGGUUUUGGUUUAGGCAUCAAAGGGGGCACGAAUGCUCCCCCCGACACAAAAGGUUUGAAAACACGUUCACGGGUCGUUUGAUGUUUAGGCAUCGACAAUGAUCCUUCCGCAGGUUCACCUACGGAAAUCGAAUUCCCGCUGCCACC
rnacentral:rRNA from 1 species